rnacentral:rRNA from 1 species
UCUAUACGGUGAAACUGCGAAUGGCUCAUUAAAUCAGUUAUCGUUUAUUUGAUAGUACCUUACUACUUGGAUAACCGUGGUAAUUCUAGAGCUAAUACAUGCUAAAAACCCCGACUUCGGAAGGGGUGUAUUUAUUAGAUAAAAAACCAAUGCCCUUCGGGGCUCCUUGGUGAUUCAUAAUAACUUAACGAAUCGCAUGGCCUUGUGCCGGCGAUGGUUCAUUCAAAUUUCUGCCCUAUCAACUUUCGAUUGUAAGGUAUUGGCUUACAAUGGUUUCAACGGGUAACGGGGAAUUAGGGUUCUAUUCCGGAGAAGGAGCCUGAGAAACGGCUACUACAUCCAAGGAAGGCAGCAGGCGCGCAAAUUACCCAAUCCCGACACGGGGAGGUAGUGACAAUAAAUACUGAUACAGGGCUCUUUUGGGUCUUGUAAUUGGAAUGAGUACAAUUUAAAUCCCUUAACGAGGAACAAUUGGAGGGCAAGUCUGGUGCCAGCAGCCGCGGUAAUUCCAGCUCCAAUAGCGUAUAUUAAAGUUGUUGCAGUUAAAAAGCUCGUAGUUGAACCUUGGGCCUGGCUGGCCGGUCCGCCUCACCGCGUGCACUGGUCCGGCCGGGUCUUUCCUUCUGGGGAGCCGCAUGCCCUUCACUGGGUGUGUCGGGGAACCAGGACUUUUACUUUGAAAAAAUUAGAGUGUUCAAAGCAGGCCUAUGCUCGAAUACAUUAGCAUGGAAUAAUAGAAUAGGACGUGUGGUUCUAUUUUGKUGGUUUCUAGGACCGCCGUAAUGAUUAAUAGGGAUAGUCGGGGGCGUCAGUAUUCAAUUGUCAGAGGUGAAAUUCUUGGAUUUAUUGAAGACUAACUACUGCGAAAGCAUUCGCCAAGGAUGUUUUCAUUAAUCAGUGAACGAAAGUUAGGGGAUCGAAGACGAUCAGAUACCGUCGUAGUCUUAACCAUAAACUAUGCCGACUAGGGGAUCGGGCGAUGUUAUCUUUUUGACUCGCUCGGCACCUUACGAGAAAUCAAA